UACGGGGGGAGCAAGCGUUGUUCGGAUUUACUGGGCGUAAAGGGCGCGUAGGCGGUGUGUCACGUCGAUCGUGAAAACUUGGGGCUUAACUCUGAGCUUGCGGUCGAUACGGGCAUCACUGGAGUUCGGCAGGGGAGACUGGAAUUCCUGGUGUAGCGGUGAAAUGCGCAGAUAUCAGGAGGAACACCGGUGGCGAAGGCGGGUCUCUGGGCCGAUACUGACGCUGAGGAGCGAAAGCGUGGGGAGCGAACAGG
rnacentral:rRNA from 1 species